UAUUCAGAACACAGAAUAACAUGUAACAAAAGCAUGUUUAAAUGUUUGAAGGUGGCGAGGUGGCAAAAACGUUAGCACAACGGGCGAAAUGCUUAGCGGUAUUUCGUCUGCCGUUACGUUCUGAGUUCAAAUUCCGCCGAGGUCAACUUUGCCUUUCAUCCUUUCGGGGUCGAUAAAUUAA